ensembl:lncRNA
AUAAAUGUCGGCUUGAUGACCAUUAAAAAGGGUGGUUUGAAGCCAUACCGUGGAAAAACUAUUUUCCUAACAACAGACCCUGACGCUACUGCCACAAGUCUGCUCAAUCAAGCUGUUAAAAAAAUGAAGGACUUUAACAAAGAUCUAAAAGAUGAACCUUUCCUUCUUCUGUAUCCGGAUGGCACUGAGGUCAUUACUGUCCCUGGAACACAAAGACCAUUUACACUUGAGGCUUAUAAGGCUGAAGUUGGCAAGCCUUAUCAAAGAAUCACUGUUUUCAUCUGCUUGAAGAGUGACUUUGAAGAUGUUGGAGAAAACUCAGACUUGUCUGACUCUGACCCAGAGAUUGUUAUUAAAAGGCCCUCUGAGUUUGAUCUUGCUGAUACACUGGUAAGUACAAUUUAAAAUUUUUUUAUAGAGUUUUCUUGUUGUUUAGCCACCACCAUUUGCCUCAGUUCAGUAAAACAGUUAAUAGUCAUAUGUGAAAUACAUUUUGUGUGUGUGUGUGCGUGCUCGCGUGUGUGUGUUUGUUUGUUUGUUUCAGCCAUUGGAACUUCAACAUGAAAGCAGUCCUUUACAGAAAGCGGCAGAAUAUGAGUAAGUGAUAUUUGAAGAACAUGUAAUCUUUUACUGUUUUUUGCCUACACUUUGUAUUAAUGAGAUAUACACUUUUGUCAUUCAUUCUGUAUAUGCUUUUUGGAACAUGGACUACAUAAUACUUGUAUUGCUUGUUUGUUAGUUAAUCAAGAUGCUUAAAUAUUUUCAAAGUGUCAAUUAAUAUUUUCACAGUACACAACAAAAAUGCUUUUCUUUGUUCUCUAAGGAAGGGUGCUGGGGAUCUUAUGCUUGCUAAUGAAGUACAACAGAGACACCAAUUUGCAGGCACAUGGAAUUAUUGCAAAUUUGGCACUGGAACUUGACCACAAGAAGGUCGGCAGGUUCAAUAUAUCAAGGUCAGCUGUAUGGGAUGGAGCUGUUAGAGGAUUUCGACGCAGCACAUACUCUGACAACUACGACAUGUUCAUCAAGUUUAAUGAUGAUGCUGGCAGCUUUGAAGAAGGUUUGGAUACAGGUGGCCCGAGGCGUGAAUUCCUCACACUUCUUAUGGGCAGUCUGCGAAAUCGCCCCAUCUUUGAUGGACCUCCAGAGAGCCGUUAUCUUGUAUAUAAUUCAAGAGGUGGAUGUUUUCUCCGUAAUUAUUACAAUGGAAAUUUUAAUAAAAUUGGCGUAUUUUUUUUAUUAGCAUAUUUAAUAGCAAUUAACCAUGAUAAUUAUGUGCCCUGUAUAACAGCUGCCAGGCAAGAUGAGUACUUUUUAGCAGGAAAGAUGAUCGCUGUAUCCAUUGUGCAUGGGGGACCAGCACCACAUUUCCUCUCCAAGAACCUGGUCAACCACAUCACAGGGAAUCAGAGUUUCAGCGCCACUGUAGAAGAUGUGCAAGAUGAGGAGAUCACAAAAAUUUUACAUCAGGUAGAAAAUUACCUAGGCUCAGGGAAUGGGUUUACUUAGAAGACACUUGGGGCCAGUUUAAAAGAUUUAAUUGGGAUAAAAGUUAUCCGGGUUGGAUCAUAUCUUGAAAGUAGAUUCUGUAAUCUAAAAGGACGGAUUUCCAACUCCCAACAACACAAGUGAAAUAACAAAUUGAUUAUUUUUUUAAUCCAAUGUUUGAAUGAAUCGUAAAAGUAGUGAAAAUUAUAUUUUUGUUUUUCUUACAGUAAACCUUUUUUUUUUUUUUAUAGGUUCUGAAAGCUGAAUCAGAGGAGUCUUUGCAUAAUCUUAUUUUGCAAAACAGCACAAUCUUCCAAACUGCUGGAUGCCUCAGAAACGUCAAGCCUUUUGAGAAACAAGCAUUUGUGGAGGAGUACCUCAGAUGGUACAUCCUUGAAAGAAACCAAAGUGUCAUUCAACGGUAAACUCAUUACUCCUUUUAAAUUCAGGAUGGCCAGUUGCUCAUCACAGCAGCCACUGACAUUUUCAGACCUUCAGAUGUAUAUGAAAAAACUGAUUCAGUAGCAUCGGUGAUCUGAUGAACAACUAGUUAAUUCCUGAGCCACUGUCGCACGCUAUUAACCUUUUGACACUAGAACUCUAAUUUAGUAUACAUUUAUUGUUCACAAUGACCCAUAAUAAUCAUAGUCAUGCAACAUGAUUAAUUUUUCAGUUAUUUAUAAAAAGAGGUGAUCCCUUGUUUGACACACGUGUUUAUUCCAGUGUGAAAGCACUAUUUUUUUUUUUAAUGCUAAAAUCCCAAUGAGCUCUUCUUUUUUUGCUGUCACAGUUAAUUUCUGAGCGCUAUGAAUUGUUUUUGUGUAUGAGUGAUUCUAUGCAUUUGAAAUCUGUCCAAAUUUAUAAUGAAAGUUCUAGUAGUUAAAGACAUUUAAACACAAUUUAGAAGACUGCAAUAGUUAUAGCUAUAAACCAAUUAUUAGUUAUUUGUCUAUCCUUUGCAGAUUUAAAGAUGGACUGGAAAGUCUGAAUUUUUUAAGUGCACUGCAACAAAAUUCCAGUGUGCUGGCCCCACUCCUAUGCUUCUCUGCCAAGGCCCUGACUGCUUCAGAACUGGAGAGCAUGUUCAGACCAGAUCUCAGCCCAGCAGGAAGCAACAAGCGGCAUAAGGAGGUCCUAACACUUGGCUUUUGGGCAGAUUAUCUCCUUGAUUGUGAAGGUUUGAAUGACCAUUUUUAUUUGUUUAUAGUUUUAUGAAAGGAGAGGUGAGGAAAUAAAUUUUCUGUAAUGUACUACAGUGUUUACUUUCUUCUUUCAGAGAAGGCAACAGCAGUGUGUCUGGAAGAUUUGAUGAUGUUUGCCACAGGGCUGACGGCAGUUCCACCGGCAGGAAUGACACCACCACCACGCAUCCAGUUUUUAAGUGUUUCGCCUUUUCCAGUUGCAAACAUCUGUGCAAAUACUCUGAAACUACCCAUCUGUGACUCAUACAGCAUCUUUAAGGCCAACAUGGACUUUGGAAUUCAAAAUGCUCCAGGAUUUGGAUGUUCUUAAAUCAGCAAGGUCAUCAAGUUACAGUUACUGAGUUACCCUGUUAGGUUCAGCUGCCGUUGGCAUACUACUUAACACAUUUAUGUGACAAGCAACUUCCAUAUUGUUAAACAUUUAGUUGUUUUUUCUGAAUAUUGUGUAUGUUGGAAAAGUGACAGAAAUGCUGGACACUAUUUGUAAAUGGUUUUAUUAAAGAAAAUUUUAAAUGUUUCAUUGUGGUUAAAUGUUAAUAUUUAAAUCCAUGCCAGUUGCUGUAUAUUAUGAACAAUAUUAUAUUCAAUUUAGCAAGAGGGAAAGGAAACACUACUAACAUUAAAAAAUGAAGGAAAAACAGAAGGGCUGGAGCACUCAAGUCCAAAGGUUUUAUUAGGUGCAAAAAAAGGAAAGAAACUAACGUUUCGACACCGUGUGUGUCUU